rnacentral:lncRNA from 1 species
GUUCGAGGCAAAAGCAAUUUCAGUUAGAGGGUAUGGGAUCUAAUUCCACGGUUGUGGUGAGACGAUGCUAAAAGAAAAGAGGAGGAAGAAUGGAAGAUGGUGGUGGAAACACGACAGUGAAUGGAGGUUGUUGUGGUGGUUCGGAUGUUUGAGAGUGAAACGGAGGGAGAUCCGGAGGUAGCGGUGGUUUUUAUGGCAGUGAAGUUGGUUUUGAUGAAGGAAUCUCCCCCUUGAGUUCUUUUCAGAAAGCCUUUUUUAGAGGAAGGGAUUUCGUUUUCUUUCUCUUAAAAGUCAUUCCUCUUUUUCUCGUGACGGAUCCCCCCAAAAAGGUUGUCUAAAGAGAGAGUAUUAUUGGCCAAUGAAAAGAAACCGUUGGGAAGGGAGAAUAACGUAUGUGUAAGGAGAAUGGACGUGUGUCCUCCUCCUAGUGGAGAAUUGGGAGAUAUUCUUCAAUUGAUUCCUCCCUUAGAAAAAUCGUGAAAUUGAAGAUAAGAUGGGAUUCUAUGCGCCACGUGGACCAUCUUGAUUGGGGCUUAAAUUCUUUUUAUUUAAUUUUUAAAAUUUUCUUUUCUUAUUUUAUUUGAUUUUGAUUGGUCAAGAGAGGUGGACAUGGAUAAUUAUUGUGAGCCUUAGAUUAAUUUGAAUUAAUGAUCAGGAUUGGAUUAAAGAAAUACAAAUAAAUCCAAAAUGUCUACAAUGUCCCUUCUAGAUGAUUUAAUUGAUUUAAAACAAAUUAAAUCAACCAAAUCAAAUAAAAUUCCCAUCUUUAUACACAUGAUAAAAAUAAAAUGAGGACAUGAAAAAUUCUAUUUAAUUAUUCUGAUUAACUUGACAAAAGAAUAAAAUGACUAAAUAUGAAUAAAAGUCGGGCGAAAAUUUGCUCGACAAAUUAAACUGAAUGCAUUAAAAUGAUCAGUGCGAAAUAAACUUAUUGGAAAAAUACAACAUUUCUUUUAAUUCAAAAAUAAUUUUUGAUCGGUUAAAAGGUUUAGACGGAUCAAAAUACAGCUGAAAAAGUCGUCGAAAAAUAUAACGAGCACACCAGGUUAUACUACGCGAACCGUAGAUUAAUAAUACUGACGUCUGCAAGCUUGAUUUCGAAACUUCUUACCCGCUAAUUUUAUAUUUACUUGAGAAAUUAUUUAAUCAAUUUAUCUGUAUAUUCGAUAAUUUAUUCCGACUGAUAUUUUAGGUAUUAUUCAUGAUGGAAUGCAUGUCAUGCUAUACAUAUGAUGCAAACUGAAAUUAAAAUCGAAUUUAUGAAAGUUUUAAAAUGCCCGGACAAAAUUGGGGUAUGACAGCUGCCCCUAUUUAAUCACCUUAAACUAGAAGGUAUGAAUGACAACAGUCUUCGUAUAUUCGUGGUGGAAGAUAAUUAAAUAAGAAAAAACCCAAAUUUUGUCCUUUGAGAUGCAAGGAUGAAAUGCAUAAAGAAAAUGCAGUGAGAAAUACGGUAAGAAAAGUUAUUAUAAGGUAAAAUGAAACAAUAAAGGCUCUCUGGGAAUCAUCAGAAUAAUAUCUUGGAUGCCAUGAUCGAGAUAUUCCAAUAGUGGAAUCAUACCUCAAAUGUAUCUAAGACUUUCUGAAAAUUAGCAGAAUAUUAUCUUGAACUGAACACACGAGAUUCCAUGAGGAUCAACGAAGCAGUAUCUUACAUGAUAUAAUCGAGAUAUUCCAACAAGGGAAUGAUACCUCAAUCGUAUCUAGGGUUCUUCGAGGAUACUAGAGCAUCAUCUCUAAGAACAAAUGAGAUUCUUCAAAUUAAUGAAGCAGUAUCUCAAACAGAUGGAUGAUAUUCUCUAUGUCAACGAAGCAACAUCUUAUAUGAUCUAAUCAAGAUAUUCCAAUAGAGGAACAAUACCUUAAUUGAAUCUAAGACUCUUCGAGGAUACUAGAGCAAUAUCUCUGAGAAUAAAUAAGAUUCUUCAGAUAAAUGAAGCAGCAUCUCAAACAGAUAAAUAAGGUUCUCUGGAUCAAUGAAGCAGCAUCUUAUAUGAUCUAAUCAAGAUAUUCCAACAAAGGAAUGAUACCUUAAUUGAAUCUAAGACUCCUCGAGGAUACUAGAGCAGUACCUCUAAAACCAAUGAGACUCUUCAAAUCAAUGAAGCAGUAUCUCAGAUAGAUAAAUGAGAUUCUUCAAGUGAAUGAAGCAGUUUCUCAAACAGAUAAAUGAGAUUCUUCGAAUCAACUACGCAACAUCUUACAUGAUAUAAUCAAGAUAUUCCAACAAGGUAAUGAUACCUUAACUGAAUCUAAGACUCUUCGAGGAUACUAGAGCAGUAUCUCUAAAAACAAAUGAGACUCUUCAGAUAAAUGAAGCAGUAUCUCAAGCAGAUAAGUGAGAUUCUCUGAUCAACGAAGCACCAUCUUAUAUGAUAUAAUCAAGAUAUUCCAACACCGAGAAUGAUACCUUAAUUGAAUCUAAGACUCUUCGAGGAUACUAGAGCAGUAUCUCCAUAAACAAAUGAGACUCUUCAGAUAAAUAAAGCAGUAUCUCAAGCAGAUAAGUGAGAUUCUCCAGAUCAACGAAGCAGCAUCUUAUAUGAUAUAAUCAAGAUAUUCCAACAAGGGAAUGAUACCGUAAUUGAAUCUAAGACUCUUUGAGGAUACUAGAGCAAUAUCUCUAAAAACAGAUGUGACUCUUCAGAUUAAUGAAGCAGUAUCUCAAACAAAUAAAUGAGAUUCUCCGAAUCAACGAAGCAACAUCUUACAUGAUAUAAUCAAGAUAUUCCAACAUAGGGAAUGAUACCUUAAUUGUAUCUAAGACUCUUUGAAGAUACCAGAGCAGUAUCUCUAAAACAAAUAAGAUUCUUCAAAUUAAUGAAGUAGUAUCUCAAGCUGAUAAAUGAGAUUCUCUGAAUUAACGAAGCAACAUCUUACAUGAUAUAAUCAAGAUAUUCCAACAAGGGAAUGAUACCUUAAUUGUAUCUAAGACUCUUCAAGGAUACUAGAGUAGUAUCUCUAAAACCAAAUGAGACUCUUCAGAUUAAUAAAGCAGUAUCUCAAACAAAUAAGUGAGAUUCUCCGAAUCAACAAUGCAUCAUCUUACGAUAUAAUCAAGAUAUUCCAACACCGAGAAUGAUACCUUAAUUGAAUCUAAGACUCUUCGUGGAUACUAGAGCAGUAUCUCUAAAAACAAAUGAGACUCUUCAGGUUAAUGAAGCAGUAUCUCAAACAGAUAAGUGAGAUUCUCCAGAUCAACGAAGCAGUAUCUUAUAUGAUAUAAUCAAGAUAUUCCAAUAAGGGAAUGAUACCUUAAUUGAAUCUAAGACUCUUCGAGGAUACUAGAGCAGUAUCUCUAAAACAAAUGAGAUUCUUUAAAUCAAUGAAGCAGUAUCUCAAAUAGAAAAAUGAGAUUCUUCAAAUAAAUGAAGCAGUAUCACAAACAGAUAAAUGAGAUUCUUCAGAUAAAUGAAGCAGUAUCUCAAACAACAUAUGAGAUUCUCCGAAUCAAUGAAGCAAUAUCUCAAAUGUUUAUUUGUUGGGGGAAAUAGUUCAGAAAAGACUCCCUCUAGAGGAUAUUUACUGGAAAUGCUCUGCAAGGGAAAAGCUCACAAGAGACUUUUUAGGGUAGCCUCUGCUUGAGGAGCAAUGAUAGCAAAGAUGAUGGGGUAUAUCUUUAUUAACCAUAAAGUUUGAAGAAUUACUUGUUGGAAAAUAAUUCCACGAGCACAUGCAGGGUAAUAAUUCCAUUGAACUAAAUGAGAAAAGUCUGGGAUACAUAUGAAUGACCAUGGAUCCUGAAUUAUGUAAUGUUUGAUGUUUUGUAUGAUGUUCCACUUUGGAUGGAAGUACUUAUGCAUGUAAUGAUACGUGAGAUGUAUGCAAGUAUGCAAUUGCUGGGGAUAUUUAGAUGUAGGCAUGCAGGAAUGCGAAUGACUUUGUUCGAUUUUGUAUAAGGUUAUGCAUAAGUAUGCUGAUGAUUGAUAGGAUAGUGUUUUGAUGAAUUUACCUAUUUUAGAAGGAAAAUUAUGCAUGAAUGAUGCAUGUGAUGCACGUGGGAAUGCAACUGGAUACUUGGAUUUUUUUUGUAGGGCUUUAUUUUUUAUUUCCAAUGGAAUUGGACUUUGAAGGUGAACUGCCAGAUGAGAACUGGUGAAAAAGAUUGAACUGCCAAAUGAGAACAUAACUUGAAGGAUAUGUUACCAGACGAGAAUUGGUGAAAAUAAUUGAAAUGUCAGACGGGACUGACUUUGUUUUUAUUUUUCAUACGAGAACUGACUUUUAAAGUAGGUUACCAGACGAGAACUGGUUACGAAAAAUAGACUACCAGACAGGAACUAGUAUCGAAAUAGGUGACCUACUAGACGAGAACUGGUAUUAAGAGAUAAUUUACCAGACGAGAACUGGUAUUGGUAAAUGAUUUGUCAUACAAGAAUCAAUUUUUUUUUGAAAUAGUUCGCCAGACGAGAACUGGACUUUGGAAAUAAAUUGUCAGACGAGAACUGGACUUUGAAAUAAAUUGCCAGACGAGAACUGGAUUUUUAAAUAAAUUGCCAGACGGGAACUGGAUUUUGAAAUAAAUUUCUAGACGGGAACUGGACUUUGAAAUAAAUUUCCAUACGAGAACUGGACUUUGAAAUAAAUUUUCAGACGAGAACUAGACUUUGAAAUACAUUGCCAGACGGGAAGUGGACUUUGAAAUAAAUUGCUAGACGGGAACUGGACUUUGAGUUGCCAAUCGAUGUUGGGCUUUGAUGUCAAAUCUUGUGUUACAAGGCUUUUUGAUGUCAUGUUCAAUGUUAUGGGGUUAGACCCGAUGAAUGUUAUGAUAUGCAUGGUUUUAUGUUAGAGCAAAGCGACAUGACUAAUGCAUGAGGAUGAUUUAUGCAAUGAUUUGCAUGUUUCCAAAAUGCCCCUGUGUGGGUAUUGGAAGAGAAGGUUCUUUGCAGAAAGGCUUCUUGUCUGUCAAAAGGUUAUUUUAUGGGGUGAUAGCAUGAUUCCUCGACACUCAUCUUGAACUCUACAGUUGAUGACGUGUGAAAAAGCUUUUGCUUAAAUAACUUGAAAUCACGGAGAAGACUUGCUCCCGUGUGGCCCAUUCUGCCCCAGUUAGUUGGGUCUUUGCAGAAUGUUUACCUCGAAAGGAUUUUGAAAGCAAUUGUACCAUAAUUUGAAGAUGGCUUGCCCCAUAAUUUUAAGUCAUGAAAGGAUUUAUCCUUGGUUAACCGACUCUUUGAGUGGUUGAAUUUACUGUACUAUUGAGGUAGCUUACUCCGGUAUGAGUAUUGAAGCGACUUAACUCACCCUGACUGAACAUUUAAGGGGUUUUCCCCUGGCCAAUAGAACCUCUAGGUGAUCUGCCCCUAGUUAAUAGAGUCCUGAGAUGAUUUUCUCUGGAUCAACCGACUCUUGAAUGACUUGCUCCUUAAUUAACAAAUGUUUGGAAACUUUUUCAAACUGACUGAUUCUUGGAGUAAUCUUCCUAUGAUCAACUGAUGUUUUUAGGUGACAUGCCCCUGAUUCAUGGGUUAUGAGCAAGCUUCUCUGAUUGCUCUUUGUUGAAAUUUCCCUGACGUCAAGUACUGACUUGCAGUUAAAAUUGUUUAUUCAUAAAUGGUAAUUUUAAUGCGAUACUGAUGCAAGUUUUGAAAAGAAUCAUUUAUUAGAAUGAUGUGAUAGUGUGUGACGAGUGGACCAUGAGUCCAAACGCAUUGUUUAUUUAGCUAGUGUGUGAAAACAUACAGCGAGAAUAUGAUACCAAUAUAGGUGAUUAGCAAAUAUCUAGGAGCCAGUUUACACAAACUUGAUGUAGUAUGCUUUCAAAAUAAGCCUUGCUUCAAUUAGGUCUUUUAUGGGUUGUAACAUGGCCUGGUUCACGGUUUUUGAACAAAAGGAUAUAAGGCUCAAAGUUUAUUUUAACCCACCCCUUCUUCGUGAUGAUCUCCAGUCCUCCUAAGCUCAGUUAAUUCAACAUUCACAUUCGUCUUUAAGGCUUGACAGUGUAAGGAAAAAGAUGAAGAUUCAAGACUUUCUUGAAAUGGCAGUCACCUUACUUCGUUUUUUGGAUGUCGGUGACCCUUUGAUUUUGGUAUGGUGGUCACUAAAUCUUGUUUUGUUUUGUUAAGGGUUUGCGUGACCUCUUUUGUUUUUUGUUUUGAUCCCUAACUUUUUCCUGGACCGCUUUUUUAAGCUUUAGUCCAUCGAGGUUGCCUCUUUGGGUGUUCGACUUAGCGAGCUCUCUUUUUUUGAAAAAUUAUGACUGCCAAGUCUUUGGUCAUUGAAGAACAACCGACAUAAAUUUUGGAUUUUGUAUGGUUCCUUUGACACUUUAGGAUGUGUGUGAAGAACAUCAUGUGGUUGAUCUCGAUAUGGGAUGUAUUCUCUUGUAAUUCAAAAGUGGAGUCAGAUUAACUGAACACUACCAUGCCCCGGGUUAAACAUAAGGGUUUGUAGAUCCGAAAGAAAUAACUACUUCUAGGCUCGAAGUGGUUGACUAUGGAUUAACUCCUUAUCUCUCCAGUGUUUGGGAAUUUGAAACAAUGCCUGUACAUUAUCAGUAGGAUUCUAUCCGAAAGCAUACAGUCAGCAAUUAUGGGUAUUUUGUUUUCGUCACCUCCCUCCAAUAUUGCUAAAACAACAGUUUGAUAAAGAAGGGUGAAUGGGAGAAACACAUAUGUAUUUUUGUUUUUGAUAUAAGAGAAGAAAAAUAAGCGAAUGCGAGAUAAUUGAUUUAAAACAUGCAUGAUUGCUUCAUUAAUAUUACCAUUAAAAAUAACAAUGUACAGAAACAAGUAGCAUUUAACAACAAGGAAAUUAUAAAUGUAAUGAUAAAAAAAAUUAGUCCAAUGAUUUUCAAUGAUAUCUUCCUGACUGAACCACUGGCAUUAGGAGAUACUAUAUGAAGUCUUCAACCUCAUUCGGGUGAGAAGUUGUCAUGCACCAAUAGGCUUCCUUUUGAAAAGGAUACGUCAAUCAACUGUUGUACUUUGGCCUUGAAAGCAUUCCAGUCUUAAGUUGAGUGCCCUAUUGAUCCAACAUGGUAUCCACAUUGUACAUCGGGAUCAUACCCAGGUGGGUACGGUUCUGGCGAUGACCUGAGAGACUUGGGCUCCACCAGUGAGCUUUGAAUCAUACAUGGCAGAAGUCGACUGUAUGACAUAGGGAUUGGACCGAGAGGAGCAUUCCUUCUUUCCAGAUUGUUUUGAGGCCUAUCCUGGUUCAGAUGCUGAUUUUGAUAUCCUUGACCACGAGAUCUUUGAUUUGUAUGAGGAGCAGUAUGUGGUUGCUUGAAUGAUGCUCUAGGCAUUCCUGGUUGCCUAUAAGGAUAGCGUGGUGUUGGAAAUGGUGAUUAUUGAAAAGAUGAAGAAUCAUAAGGUCUGGCUGGUGCACAGUGAGAAUGCCCAACAUCUGCUAUGACUGCAUUUGUUUCAUCCUCUUCUUCCUUUUGGGAAUUGCUGAGGGAGUCUAUCUUGCUAGCUUGGCUGCUUGAGGCGCCUUGGAUUCUUCCGCUUUUUAGGGCACUCUCGAUGUGUUCUCCAAUUGUCACUAAGUGGGCAAAGUUUGAUAACGCAUUGCCUACCAUCCUUUCAAAGUAAGGACUCUGCAAGGUAUUCAUAAACAAGUCAACCAGUUCCUUAUCCAAGAGUGGUGGUUGCACUUGGGCUGCCAAUUCUCUCUAUUGCUAUGCAUAUCCUUUCAAAGAUUCGUCGCUCUUUUGGGAUAAGCUUUGUAGCUGCCUUCGGUCUAGAGCCAUGUCCAAGUUGUAGUUGUACUGCUUCAAAAAAGCAUUGGCUAAGUCUUCCCAUGACUGAAUAUUGCUUCUUUUCAACUUUGUAUACCAGCUCAACGAUGUUCCAAUCAAACUGUCUUGAAAACAGUGAAUCAUCAGCUUGUCAUCGUGAGUAUGUGAUGCCAUUUUUUGGAAGAACAUUACCAAAUGGUGCCUUGGACAACUAUCCCCUUUGUACUUCUUGAAGUUGGGUAAUUUGAAUUCCAGGAGGAUUACUAGGCCUGGUACUAAGCAUAUAUCAUGCCUAAGAUUAUCAUUCACAUCCAUUGCUUGGACUCUCUCCUCAAGGGCAUGAAGCCUUUCAACAUCAGGAUUGGUCAAUGACAUCAAUUGGGAUUGAGUAGGGAUAUUCACUUGUGGAGGACUAUAGUCUGGCAGAGGGUCAUACAUUGGGUUUGUAAUUACAUUAAAGCUUGAUAAGGAACCAACAUUCUCUAUGACACCAUGUUGAAAAUUGUUCUUUGACUGGGCUAUCCUAGCUUCCAACAUCUGGUCUAUCUUGCCUUUCAUGUUAUUCAUAUCCAUUUUCAGCUCAACUUGAUUAUGUUCCCAGUGCUGCCUUGUCUUUUAGUUGCUCUCAAAGGUUCAGUACGAGUGUCAGGAAAUCAACCUGCUGGUAAUGGGAAAAAGGCGGGAUGAGUUUUUUGGUUUAUGAAAAUGAUAUGCAAUCCAUGCUGAUGAUAUGUGAAUGCAUGAAAUUUUGCUAUGUUUUUUUAUAUGCAAGGGAAUACAAUGCAAUACUCAUGAUCACAUGUAUGUCGUGUAAGUCAGGGUAAUAGGAGGAAGUAUAGGUUUCUCUGAUUACUAAAAAUCCCAAGGGUAGGCUCUAAGGUUGUGUUUUCAAGGAAAGAACUUAGAGUCACAAAUCAUGUUCAAAACUUCCUCGCAAUAAUGGGCUGGCCACAUCAUGAUGAAAGUUUUGAAAUGAUCUAAUCUAAGUGGGAUCUUCGUAUUGUUUGAACAGGGUGUAGACCCCUCGGUUCAAUACUACACAAUCGCCAACCAUGAAAACAAACUUUUGGUUAAGGUGAGGUUCCUAGAGUUACAGACCAUGUUCAAAGUUUCCUCGCAAUAGUGGGCUAGCCAUAUUAUGAUGGAAAUUUCGAACAGAUCUACUCUAGGUGGAGUCUUCGUAUUAUUCCAACGAGGUGUAUACCCCUCGGUUCUACAUAACUCCCGGUUCUAAGUUCUUCUCAAAGCUCGGGUACAGAGCUUGUCUUACAACAUGCAUCAAGCACCAUAGAUCACCCAUCACAACAUCAGAGAAGCAAAUCACAUAUAGCAUAAAUAAUACAAUAAGAUAAAGAGAAAGAAAGAAACAACAUUUUAGCAUUCAUCGCAAAUUGAAAUAAAUUAGGCUUGACUCUCUCUUUCUUGGAGUAAAUCGUCCCCAGCAGAGUCGCCAGUUGUCUCAUCUCGAAAAAUACGAUCCCUCACGAUGGUCACGGAAAAAAUUGUUCGAAUAGAGUUGCCACCGAACUUUAUUUAUCCCAAUGAAGGAAUAGGAAAAUAUCGAUAAAACCUUUAAAAAUAUAAUAAUGGUAGUCAAAACCAUAUUCGGGUUCGGGAGUCGAUUACGCAAAGGGAAGGUAUUAGCAUCCCUCACGUCCGUUGUACUCAAUGAAAACCUUUUAGUUUAAUUUGCGAUUUGAAUGUUAUCUAAUGUUAUUUGUUUUCUUCGAGUGAAUAAAAAUAUUGAAAAGAAAUGGAUGGAAACCUCAGAAGGGGGGAAGAUGGAGGUUUUUUAUUAGUGUGCUCGCCAAGAUCUCGCAAUCUCGUGCCUACAUAUCCUUAUGGUGAAAUGAGGAAAUCAGAGCAUUCGUAGUUCAGGGAACUACGGUUGGUUGGUGUUUUUUAAUGAACGACUAUUUAGAUCGCGUUCUAAAGGCUAAACAUUGGCUUGUCUACUCUCGGAGGAGGCUUAAGCACUAGUUUAUUGUGCGCGUUAGAAAGGAUUAAACAGUGAUCUUCAUGAAAAGGUUUUCGAUUGCACGGGGGCAAGAAAAGGGGUUUAAUAGGUUGAAUGUGUUUUAAUGAACAAGUGCUUAGAUCACACUAUAAUGGUUAAACAUUGGCUUGCACGCUGGUGGUGGAGAUUUAAGCGCUAGUUUGUGUACGCACUAGAAAGGAUUAAGCAAUGUUCUUUCUAAAAAGAAUUAAGUUGUUGAUCGCACGGGGGCGAGGAAUUAAGUUUAGUGUGUUUGGUAUUUUGAAGAAGAACGACAAAUAUUGAGCAAUAUGGUGCACACCAAUCGUUCAAUUAUUCGAGGAAUAACAAGGCGAACGCCUCCUAUUUCCUUUUUCGUUCAAAUUAGUAUUAAAUGUUGUUUGCGGAAAUCGAAUAUGUGCGGUAGUGAGGCGAACACCUCCUACUUGCUUACUCGAGGAAUAAUGAGGCAUUCACCACCUAUUCCUUUAUCCAAGUUUACUUAGAGUGUUUUAAUCGGAAGACGGAAGUUUGAGCAAUAUGGCGAGCGCCAAUCAUUCAAAUAUUCGAGAGAUAGUGAAGCGAACGCCUUCCAUUCUCCUUUUCACCUGAAGUUUUAGGUUAUAAAAGAAAGUUCUUAGAAGUUAUGUUAAUUCGGAAAGAUGAUUUGAAUUCGCAUUGAUGUGAAGUUAAUCGAGUUUGAGAAAUAAAUACUUGGGGUAUCAAUCACCUAAUCGAUAAAUCAAAAUCGAAUAGAUCUCAUUGUAAGAAAGCCCAAGAGUAAGCUAUGUGAGGUUGAUGGAGAUGCUUAAAAGCUAUCGUCUUACGAAGGUAUUUGAAAUUGGACUAGACAUUGAAUCGAGAAUUGUGUGAUUUUAGUUGUUUAUCAUGGUUUUGAAUCGAUGAGAUUGAAACGGUUGUGAAAGAAGUCGAUCAACAUUUAAUUAUCAAAAUUAAUUGAUUAAAGUUCGAUUGAAUCGACUAAUUAAAUUAAUUAAGAUUAAUUAUCAAAAUUAUUUAAUUAAAAUUAAAUAAUCAAGUCAAUUAAAAUUAAUUAAUGGUAAUUAACUAAUUGGACAAAAUUUAAUUAAUUAAUUUGUUAUAAUUAAAAGAGAAAGAAUUAAGUGACAAUGUCAAUUUGAUUGAUUGAAUUGAAUCGGUGACAAUGUGCUCAUAAACCGGUUUUUACAUAACGACAACGGAGUUGGAGUGUCGUAUGUAAGGAUCGAAACAUUGUGAAACUUCUAAAUCAAUGUAUAGAAACUUGGGCGGCAUAAAGACAUAAUUUGUUGAAUCCACGGAUUAAAAGCCGAGCCAAAAUGCAAUGCGAUUAAAUAGUAGCAACACAAAUAUUAUUUACAUAACUUGGAAAUUACUUUCAAAAUAUGGAAGUGCCAUAGUAGUAGUAAGGGAGUCUAUAAAAUAAAAGAAACAUGGCCCAAGGCCCAAUACAUACAAGUCCCUAUUUGAAACCAAAAGUUUACAUCUAUCAUAAAAGAAGACACUCUGUAUUUUUGUCAUGACAAAUUUUAUCAAGCACAAACAAACCAGUCCUACUGCACUAGGCUAGGCCCUCUCCUUUGCAAUCACAUUUACACAGAGCAUUAAGUGGACCAAAUCUGAGUUAAUGUAUCCAUUAAUACACACUAAUACACAAUAGUCAGAGUCAAGAAAUUAGUUUAAAACCUAAGUAACCUUUAUCAUCUUUAUAGCAAAACCAAACAUUGGGUAAAUCUACCGACACACAACACUCAUACCAAAUAAUCAAUACCAACACAAUCCAGGUAUCUCAAUGUUCAAAGUUCAAAAUAGCAAAAUAAAAUCCAAUGUUUUAAAAUGGAAUUCACAACAUAGCCAAAUGUUUCAAAAAAAAUCGAAGUAUUGAAACAAAGCCACACGCACACUAUAAUACUUCAGUGUUCUUACUGAUAUUAAUCACGAUCUAGCUAAACCAAUACAAGCUGCAUAAUCGAUAUGGUAAGAUAGCAUAAACAUGAUAGAUAUUCAUUAUCAAAAGAUGACCGACGUCAAUUUGGGAUGCCAAAUUUGUUGAACUCGAACAAGAUAAACGAACAAGAUCAAAGCCAACAGUAUUAAUACACAAAUCGAUGUAACACCGGAUAAACAGAGUUGUCAAAAUCAGAAUCGAGUGUUUGCUGCGAGUUAUUGCUGUUGGGUGGUUAUUGUUGAGUCUUGCUUGGAACAGGUUCUGAGUUGCAAAGAUGUCAUCGAUGUGUGGAUAUACUGCCGAGUUGUUCGUUGUCUUCUUACCAUGUCAACAGCGACUCAAACCUACUAUCAUCUUAUAACUGCACCUUCAGCAAGAAUUUGAAAUUUCGCUAAUCGUUUUCUUUGGAAAUUGGAGUUAUUCUCUUCGAAAUCAUACAACAAGCGACACCGUAUUGUUCACACGAUUGUUACCACAAUAGAGUUAGUUUGUAGCGUGAUUUCCACAACUUGGUGAGUUUGAGGCAAAAGCAGUUUCAGUUGGAGGGUAUGGGAUCUAAUUCCACGGUUUAGGGGAGAUGAUGUUGAACGGAAAGUGGAGGAAGAGUGGAAGAUGGUGGUGGAAACACGGUGGUGAAUGGAGGUUGUUGUGGUGGUUCAGAUGUUUGAGAGUGAAACGGAGGGAGAUCCGGAGGUAACGGUGAUUUUUAUGGCAGUGAAGUUGGUUUUGAUGAAGGAAUCUCCCCCUUGAGUUCUUUUCAGAAAGCCUUUUUUAGAGGAAGGGAUUUCGUUUUCUUUCUCUGAAAAGUCAUUCCUCUUUUUAUC